GAUGGUUUAGAUGCUUUAAGUGAGCUCAGGAAGAUCAAUUAGGAAGAAAGAAUUUAAGUAUUGACUGGGUCCUACAGAGGUUUCUAAUGCCACAGUACUUGCAUCUUUGGCAGCUGGAAGGAUGCUAUGAAUUUUGUUCCUAAUGCUUAGACUUAGGAUCCAGUUACUGUUAUACACAGCCAUCGGCUAUAAACUGAGGAUUGGCUUACUGCAUAGGUCUUCAACAGAGGGUCUGUGACCCCUAGUGGGUCCACAGAAGUACUCCAGCGGGGGUUCCCAGGUGAAAUCCCGUGUAUGUAUGUAUGUUUAUGUCAGGUGUGUUUAAAUUUAUGGCAGUUGCAAUAGCCUAAAAAGGUUGAAGACCCCUGGCUUACUGCUUACAUUGCUUAAAGUUAUGUUUGGAAAUGUCCAUAUCUUAGCUAAGCCAAGAAUGUCAAAGAUUUCUACACUGAUUAACUUAAGUGUUGUUUUAAAGGUCACAGCAACUUCUAAUUUGGCCUUUGGCCGUGACGGAAGUUACUGUGGUCUGUUCACAGUGAGAGUUCAGUCGUGGUUCUUCUGGCAUUGUGUGCUGACGUCAGAGCAACUGCAUGAAACCCAACUUAUUUCUAUUCUGUUGUUUCUGUUAAAGCAGUUGUGUCGUGUGGAUAAAUUAUGAGCUUGGGCAAAAUUCUGCACAGAAAUGCAUGUGGUUCUUCCUGCUCGUUGGAGACUGACUGGUCUAAAAAUCAAUUUUUGAGACACACGCAUCAGCUCAUACUUCUGCAAAAGCCACGAAUCUGAGGUUAUGGCAACAGAAGUCAAGUGGAAAGUCUUGUGUGUGUGCGUCCUCGUCUAUAAACUACAACACACUGUCGACCAACGGCUCACUGAGAGCUGCAUUGUUGUUUAGAUGUCAUUACAAGUAUGGGUGGAGGUAAACUGUGGUUUGUUCUGCUUCUGAGGCUGAUGUUUCUCACUGACAGCAAAGGGGUACAUCAGUAUCUUGUGAAGACCAUUGGUAAAGAACCAGAUGUCACUCCACUAUGCACCAAUACAACUGAGAAUGUUAUCACAUUCAUAAUUUGUAAGAUCAGAACUGAGAUGAGCCGGGGAAAAACGUGUUGUCUGUUCUAUGAUCAUGGACAAGACUUUGUACAUGAAUGUGACUCCAGAUUCACACUAGUGAAGGAAAAUCACACCGUGUUUCUACACUUGAUCAAUUUAACACCAAAGGAAAAUGGGAACCACACCUGUGAGUGUUCAUAUGUUGGUGGAACACAGUUUCUUCAUCUGAAUAUCACUGUGAAAGAUAAAGAGACCAGUGGUUCUUUUAUGACAAGAUUCAUUUUUAUCACCACUUCUACAGCACUUAUCAUCGUGACUGGAGUUGUCCUUGGACUUAUCGUGAGGAAAAUUCAUUCCAGAAUGAAGACAACCCAGACGACCAAUACACAAGCCUCAGGCAACCACAAAGGGAUCUGUACCAUAUACUCGAGUGCCAACAACACAAAGCAUAUGACAAGAUGCUACAUUCAGCCUACAGCUACUGCCAAUUUGGAACAAGAACUAAGCAGAAGAGCUGAAACAGAGACUGACCAUAUGUGUGAAAUCUAUGAAAACAUUUAACCCAAGUGUCAAGACAUGUGUCCGGUUGUUGUGAGAGUGUUGAAAAUAACUUUGUUGCUGAUGCUGGUUGCAGACUGAGAUUGUUUACAAGAGAAGGAAAGACACUCGAACUGAGCAGACAGGGUGUUAACUAAAAUGUCCGUGUGUGUUUCAUAAAUAGUUGUGGUUUAUCUGAAUGGUGAGGCAUAAAUACAUAAUAUAAAGAAAGUGUUAAAACUCUUUAUCAUUAUUACUAAUGUCCACUUAUGAUGACACCGCACAGAAAGAAGACUAAAGAUCAAGUUACUGUUAUACACAGCCAUUGGCUAUAACGUGAUAAUUAGCUUACUGCUUACAUUGCUUAAAGUUAUAACACAUCAUUUUACAAAUUUAUGUGCAUUAAAGAAAUGAAACUGCGCAAAAUGAAUGUGUUUUUGUUUUAUUUGUGACUGUGUUAGUGUUUGGAAAAGUCCAUAUCUUAUGUAAGCCAAGACUGUCAAAGAUUUCUACAUUGAUUACCUUUAAAGCAUGGUUUUAAAGUUCACAGCAACUUCUAAUUUGGCCUUUGGCCAUGACGGAAGUUACUGUGGUCUCUUAGCAGUGACAGU